GGAACGUGAAAUGUUCAGGCGCCAGAGGAUGUGGCUGCGGCCGAUUAGGUAGACGGUGGGGUAACGGCCCACCGUGCCAGUAAUCGGUACGGGUUGUGAGAGCAAGAGCCCGGAGACGGUAUCUGAGACAAGAUACCGGGCCCUACGGGGCGCAGCAGGCGCGAAACCUUUACACUGCACGAGAGUGCGAUAAGGGGACUCCGUGUGCGAGGGCAUAUAGUCCUCGCUUUUCACCACCGUAAGGUGGUGGUGGAAUAAGUGCUGGGCAAGACCGGUGCCAGCCGCCGCGGUAAUACCGGCAGCACGAGUGAUGACCGCUAUUAUUGGGCCUAAAGCGUCCGUAGCUGGCCAGGCAAGUCCAUCGGGAAAUCCGCGUGCUUAACGCGCGGGCGUCCGGUGGAAACUGGGUGGCUUGGGACCGGAAGACCAGAGGGGUACGUCUGGGGUAGGAGUGAAAUCCCGUAAUCCUGGACGGACCACCGGUGGCGAAAGCGCCUCUGGAAGACGGAUCCGACGGUGAGGGACGAAAGCUCGGGUCACGAACCGGAUUAGAUACCCGGGUAGUCCGAGCUGUAAACGAUGUCUGCUAGGUGUGCCACAGGCUACGAGCCUGUGGUGUGCCGUAGGGAAGCCGUGAAGCAGACCGCCUGGGAAGUACUUCCGCA
rnacentral:rRNA from 1 species